GGAAAAUGGAUCUACUGGACAAGACAACAAUCAGGAGAGGCAACCAGUGAGGGAGGAGACAGUGGACAAUCAUUAUGAUGAACCCAACGUUUUGAAGAGCACCCCAGCCCCUACACUAGCCCCGCCCACAACUCUGUACGACACUGUCCAAUUGAAUCGCAUCAGCCCGCACCCCACACCU